UCACCCAAGGGUAGUCGUGUAGUGAGCUAAGCUACCUUUCACCAUGCCAUUUAAAGUGUGUAGAUUUUACUUUCUUUUUCUCUCUAAUUGGGUUUCCACAAUAGUGAGUGCCACUAAUAAAUUCCCAUCACGAUUGAGAACGGAUAACAAAAUUUGUUUCUUUACACAAAAGCACCACGACACUCGUAUCCUUGCAUGCUUAUAUCUUUUCUGUUUAAUCAAUCAGCGGAAUGGUCAUUCGUUUUUCCUUUUUAUUGUAAUAAAUUUCAUUUCAUUUGUCGGUCUAUAUCGCACGCAAUUUCAGAUCCUAUCGCGUAUAGUGCCUGAUGUUAUGUAAUCUGUUCUCAAUGCUUUAACGACAGGGGGAGAUCAUUUCUUCAGGAGAUGCAAGAGGAUACACAGAUGACACUGGAACGCACUGCACGAGUCACUAUCCUAGUCAUAAGCCAAAAGAGAAGUAGUGUGCACUUACGAUGUUACCAACCUAAAGUCGCUAUCAGCGACGAUGGAACAGUUGUGAUCGAGAUCUUCGCUAUCGUCACCGGAAGUGUGUCCGCUCUGAUUCUCGUGCCGAUGAAUGACCACCACUUCCUCGUCCUCGGAAUCGCCUGCGACUCCAUCGCAAGAUCUCUCGAC